rnacentral:rRNA from 1 species
CUUUAUUUCAUAGCACAUAUAAAAAAUAUAGCUAGCAAAAUAAUACUAUCAUAAUAGCCUUAUAAGGCAAUAAGAUUCAUUAAUUUGAAUAAAUAAGUGUAUAGUUUCUGUAUGUGUAAACAUACAUGCAUACACAGGCGUGAAUUUUUCUAUACGGAAAAAGAAAAGCCAAAAAGAAAUAAAAAAAUAUAAUAUAUUAUAAAAAUAACAAAAUAUUUUUAUACUAUUUAUACUUGAUAUAUAAAUUAUAAUUAUAUAAAUUAAGCAUUAAUGAUGUUUAUAUAAUUUAUACAAGUAUGGAAAGAAAUUAUUAUAGAAUUUAAGCUAUAUAUUAAAGAGAAUUAUUUAUAUACAUGUAUAUGAUAUAUAUCAACUCUAAGAGAAAUUAAAUAAUAAACGAAGUGAAUUGAAAUAUCUUAGUAACUUUAGAAAAGAAAUCAAAAGAGAUUCUAUGAUUAGCGUGAGCUAAAAUAGAUAAGCCUAAAAAGUAAAAUGGUUAAUAAACUGUUUAAACUAAAUGGGGAACCUUCCUCAAAGGCUAAAUAUAAUAUAUAAGCGAUAGUGAAAAGUACCGUGAGGGAACUAAAAGAAAAAUAGUGAUUUUAUAAGCAGUUCGGAAAAUUAAAAAAGUUAGAACGUACCUUUUGCAUAAUGGGUCACCAAGUUAACAUUAGAUGCGAGAAUAGACGUAGUUAAACCGAGCGUUAAAAUAACGUAAAGUGUCUAAAGUUAGACCCGAAGCCUGGUGAUUUUACCAUAAUCAGGAUUAUAAAAGUCCGAACCGAUGAUUGUAGCAUAAUCUCGGAAGAAUUAUGGUAGGUGUAGUGAAAGACAAUACUGACCAGGAUAGCUGGUUUUCUGCGAAACCUAUAAUAGUAGGCAAUUUAAGUAUAAUAUCUUAGCAGGUACAGAAUUUAAUCUCAGACAAGACAUUAAAUGUUUUAUUUUGUACAAAUGGGGGGAUCAUGAAGAUUUUAUCCGUGAGUAUGCAGACUCGGAAUGGCAAAGAUAUAUCUUAAAUUAUCAGACAUAGAAUGAUAAGGUUGUAUGUCAAAAGGGAAACAGCCCAGAACAAGAGUUAAGGUUCCUAAAUUAUUUGUUGAGUGAAAUUAAGAAGGUUUUUAUUAAAGUCGACAAGGAGAUAGGCUUAGAAGCAGCCAUAAUUUUAUGACCUCGUAACAGAGCGCUUGUUAAGUUUUAAAAGCAUCGAAAAUUUACCGGAUCUAAACAAUAUACCGAAACCUUGUCCAUGAUAAUUUAUAAUAAUAAAUUUAUUAUAAUUAAAUGGGGUAGCAGAACGUUGAGCUAAAUUAUGAUUUUUAUUUUUUAAAUGAAAUUAUGUGUGGGCAUGCUGAUUUUUUAUGUGUACUUCUUACGAAGCCUUAAAAAUAUGCACGCAUGCAAAACUGCCAAAAUUUAACUCAAGCGAUAAUGGUGACAUGAGUAACUAAAAGAAAAUUUUCCGCCUAAAGCUUAUGGAUGUAAUUAAGUAACGGCCUCUAAGUUUAUAUUAUCUAAAGAUUUAAACGAUGAGAUAAUCUUUAUUACUAAGGACGACAUUUUAAGUGAAAAAUGUACUGGAAAAAUAGUAAUAUAUUUAUAUAUAUAUGUAUAUAAAUGAAAAGUAACCGUACCUAGAAUCUGAAACAAGUAAGCUAGUAGAGAAUACGAAGGCGUAAAUGAGCUAACAAUCAUAAAGGAACUCGGCAAAUUGACUACCGUAACUUCGGGAUAAGGAGAGCUCAUUAUUCUUGAUUAAUAUCAAGUAAAGAGGAAGAAGCAUGAAAUAGUGUUGUACGACUGUUUAAUUAAAACACAGCACUUUGCUGAAAGAUUAAAAAUCUAAGUAUAGAGUGUGAUGUCUGCCCGGUGCCGGCUGGUUAACAGAUAUAAUUGGAUAUACUAAUAUCUGAUGUAGACGGAAACCCCGGUUAAAGGCGGCCUUAACGUGAGGGUCCUAAGGUAGCGAAAUGCCUUGGCCGUUAAAUGCGGUCUUGCAUGAAUGAUGUAACGAUACAACAGCUGUCUCUAUGAUUGACUCAGUGAAAUUGGAAUAGCUGUGCAGAUACAGUUUACCUCUAGUUAGACGAGAAGACCCUAUGCAGCUUUACUGUCACUAAUUAUAGAGUAUGAUGAUAAACAAUUUUCAGAUUAUAAGGUAAUUGACUAGAUGACAAUGAGAAUCCUUUAUUUUUUUUUCAUAUGAAUGAAUUGGUUUAGGAUUAUGAGAUGUUUAUAGCUAUGGCUAUAAAAAAAUCAUUUUAGUAAAUCAACCUAGUUCAGCUUAUUUUUAUAAUAUAAGUACCCUUUGGUAAGGAACUAUCGCUAGGGGACAGUUUAUGUGGGGCACAGACCCUGUAAAGAGUAAACAGGAGUGUCUAAUAAUUUAAAAUUAUUUUGUUUGCGAUUUAAGGUAGUUUAACUAUUUUUAAUCAUAUAAAAUUAUUUAUAUGUACAUUAGUUGUAUAUAUAUUUAAAAAAAGGUAGGAUUUUCACUAUAUAGAAAUUAGAGAUAAUUAAAAACAUUAUGUACUUAGUGACUAAAUGUUUUUUAACUAUUAUUAAUAUAAUAGUUAUGUUUAAAAUAUCUAAAAAGCUCAACGGCUUAAUCUUGCCUUACUGUUUGAUUAUCAACAAAUCUUACAGUUGCGUAAGCAGGGCAUAGGAUCACAAGAUGCAACAAGGAAAGAUCUUGGAUUAUUGGAAAAGCUACGCUAGGGAUGUUUGUCCUUUAAUAUUUUAUUUUAUGUUGUAUGCUUACAUACAAUAUUUGUAUAACUUUCAUGGAACAUGUAUAAGCAUUGCAUGCUAAUUUUUUAUAUAUAAUAAAAAAAAGUAUAGCGUGCGUUAUUUAAUAGUGCGUGCCUCUAUGAAAUAAAGCAAGCACAUAAAUAGAAUAAUUAAUAAAUAAAUUGGGUAAAUUUCAAAAAUUACUGUGCGCAAGCUAUUAGUAAAUUUGAAGCGAAAUUUAUCUUAGCA